rnacentral:lncRNA from 1 species
AUUUCAGGCGUGAGCCACCACGCCCGGCUGGAUGCUGAGACCUCCUGGCAUCUCUUUCAAAACUCUUACCAGAAUUCAGUGUUGCUUGCCUUGCUCAUUGAUGGCAAACUCAGUGGGGCAAGAGAUCAUGUCUGUGUUCCUGGCACUGAGCCCCAAACCUGGCAUAGCAUAGGUGCUCAGUAAAUGUUUGCUGGAUGCAUAAAUGCUGCCCCAAAGGAGCCUAGCCCAGUAAGAGAAAUAACGCCCACAAUAGCCAUGAUACAAGUUAGAUUCUGCCACUAUACUUCCUCUUCCUCCACACUUCCUCGGUGUCCUCAUUCCCUGGCUUGUUCAUGCCUCCACCUGAACUCCAGAGUUAGCUGUCAGAAUUGACUAGAGUGCCAAUUUCAGAAUAUUCAGGCCAUCAGAGAAGCCUGUCAGUCACCUGGGCUCGUCACUGAAGUCUUCUUCCACCUCCCCUCUUGAACUGCAGAGGACUGGUUUUGGGGGUGAGGGCAGUCACAGUUCUGGAAAGAUGAAGAAUUUGCUCCAUCAAACUCCCCACUCUUUGCAGAGUGCUUCCUGGCACUCAUUGCUUUGAUACACUGUGAUAAAUUUACUUUUCUCAUUUUCUACCCAUGCCUCUUGUAAAAGGUGGAAAGAUUUAUAUAAUCUGAAGAGAAACCAGAGCACGUACCCAUGCCCAUUGUAAACUCAGUGAUCUCCUCAGUCUUCUAGGCCUCUGUUCUUCCUCUGCUUCACUUUGCUGUUACUUUUCCUCCUCCAAACAAGUUUCUACCUGAGUCUUCUUCCUCAUUCAGGAAAAGAUCUUGCUUGAUCAUUUUGUCUUAUAUCUUUCAUCACCCCAGUUCUGUUUCCCUUCUCCUCUGAUUUUUUAUUUUUCAAGACCUUGUCUCAGGCUGUUUAGUUUUUUAGAAAUGGGGUCUGUCACCCAGGCUAGAAGACAGUGGCAUGAUCAUAGCUCACUGCUGCCUUGAACUUCUGUCCACAAGCAAUCCUCCCACUUCAGCUUCCCGAGUAGCUAGGACUACAGGCACGUGCCAUCGCCUUCGUCUACUUUUGUUUACUUAUUAACUUAGAGACGGGGUCUUGUUAUGUUGCCCAGUUGGUCUCAAACUUCUGGCCUCAAGUGAUCUUCCCACCUCAGCCUCCCGAACGGAUGGGAUUACAGACAUGAGCCACUGCAGUCAGCUCCUCUGAGGGUUUUGUUUUUAAAUGCCUAGGUCUCUUCCACUAUAGGAACGUCUUCACUUGCCGUGGUAACUCCUUAACAUGGAGUCCUCAUUUUCUGUCUGCCUUUUCACCGACCAUUCCUGGCGCUACCACUUAUUAGCUGUGUUACUUGGGGAAGUUACUUAUCUUUCAGCACAUAAGUCUUCCCACCUAUAAAAUGUGACUGAUGAUCCCAGGUGUUAGGUGCAAGAGCAAAAAUAGAUGCUGGCUCCCUAGCUCACUGUCUGGGACUCCUGUGCUCAACAAAUCGUUCCCCUCCCCACUUUAUUCUUUAGCACUGAGGUGCAACUUCUGCUCUCUCCCCUUCUUCCAAAUCAAACUAUUAUUAAUUACCAAUAACCUUCUCUAACAGACCAAUCAAAAUGUCCUUUUCCAUAAUAUGUACUUGUUUGCCUCAUUAAAGGUGUGGGGUAUCAUGCAGGGAAUGGAAUAGACAAGGACAGUACUGGUAGCAAAAUUUCCCAAUGUACAUCUUUAUGUCAUUUUGACUUUUGAAUCAAAUAGGUUUUUUUUUUUUUUUCUCAUUCGUCCCUCCUGGCUGAUUUAAGUAUUUAGCAUUUUUGACAAUUUCCUUCCUGUCUGCUUUGAAAACUAAACUGUACUGAUUUUACCCCGACUGCUCUUGGUCGUUUUUUUUGUUUUGUUUUGUUUUGAGACAGGGUCUUGCUGUGUUGCUCAGGCUGGAGUGCAGUGCCAUGAUCACGGCUCACUGCAUCCUCAACCUCCUGGGCUCAAGCAAUCCUCUUGUCUCAGCCUCCCAGGUACCUGAGACUAUAGGCACACACCACCAUGCCCAGCUAUUUUUGGCAGAGAUAGGGUCUUGCUGUGUUGCACAGGCUGGUCUUGAACUCCUGAGCUGAAGUGAUCAGCCCACCUCAGCCACCUAAAGUGAUGGGAUUACAGGCAUGAGCCAACAUGCCCGGCCUCUUAGUAAACUUUUGAAGAGGCUUCUCCUCUCACUCCUGGAAAAGAAGUAGGGGAGGUUUCCUCAAGAUUUGAUCCAUUUGGGAGGCUGAGGUGGGCGGAUGACUUGAGGUCAGGAGUUCAAAACCAGCCUGGCCAACAUGGUAAAACUCUGCC